CAAUAGCGUAUAUUAAAGUUGUUGCGGUUAAAAAGCUCGUAGUUGGAUUUCUGCUGAGGACGACCGGUCCGCCCUCUGGGUGAGUAUCUGGCUUGGCCUUGGCAUCUUCUUGGAGAACGUAGCUGCACUUGACUGUGUGGUGCGGUAUCCAGGACUUUACUUGAGGAAAUUAGAGUGUUUCAAGCAGGCACACGCCUUGAAUACAUUAGCAUGGAAUAAUAAGAUAGGACCUUGGUUCUAUUUUGUUGGUUUCUAGAGCUGAGGUAAUGAUUAAAAGGGGCAGUCAGGGCACUCGGUAUUCCGUCGAGAGAGGUGAAAUUCUCAGACCAAUGGAAGACGAACCACUGCGAAAGCAUUUGCCAGGGAUGUUUUUCACUGAUCAAGAACGAAAGUUAGGGGAUCGAAGACGAUUAGAU
rnacentral:rRNA from 1 species